GACGAACGCUGGCGGCGUGCUUAACACAUGCAAGUCGAACGGAAAGGCCCUGCUUGCAGGGUACUCGAGUGGCGAACGGGAGAGUGACACGUGGGUGAUCUGCCCUGCACUUCGGGAUCAGCCUGGGAAACUGGGUCUACUACCGGAUCGGAGCCAUUUUUAGUGUGCUGGUUGGGAAGUUUUUUCGGUGUAGGAUGAGCUCGCGGCCUAUCUGCGUGUUGGUGGGGUAGUGGCCUACCAAGGCGGCGACGGGUAGCCGGCCUGAGAGGGUGGACGGCGACAGUGGGACUGAGAUACGGCCCAGACUCCGACGGGGGGAAGCAGGGGGGAAUAUUGCAAAAUGGGCGCAAGCCUGAUGCAGCGACGCCGCGGGGGGGAGGACGGCCUUCGGGUUGUAAACUCCUUUCGCUAGGGACGAAGCUUGUUGUGACGGUACCUAGAUAAGAAGCACCGGCUAACUACGUG
rnacentral:rRNA from 1 species